GAUGAACGCUGGCGGCGUGCCUAAUACAUGCAAGUCGAGCGAACAGACGAGGAGCUUGCUCCUCUGACGUUAGCGGCGGACGGGUGAGUAACACGUGGAUAACCUACCUAUAAGACUGGGAUAACUUCGGGAAACCGGAGCUAAUACCGGAUAACAUGUUGAACCGCAUGGUUCAACAGUGAAAGACGGUUUUGCUGUCACUUAUAGAUGGAUCCGCGUCGCAUUAGCUAGUUGGUAAGGUAACGGCUUACCAAGGCAACGAUGCGUAGCCGACCUGAGAGGGGGAUCGGCACACUGGAACUGAGACACGGUCCAGACUCCUACGGGAGGCAGCAGUAGGGAAUCUUCCGCAAUGGGCGAAAGCCUGACGGAGCAACGCCGCGUGAGUGAAGAAGGUCUUCGGAUCGUAAAACUCUGUUAUUAGGGAAGAACAAAUGUGUAAGUAACUAUGCACGUCUUGACGGUACCUAAUCAGAAAGCCACGGCUAACUACGUG
rnacentral:rRNA from 1 species